CUGAAAAUCGCCAAGUUGCAAAGUUAUCACGGCC
rnacentral:sRNA from 1 species